UAGUAGAACAACUCUAGAGGAAAAGCUGGGCCGGAAAAGUGGGAACCUCUAGGGCGCCGCCCUGUUGCUACUGGUCAAUGUGGCCAGCGCAAUUACUAUUGAAAGAGCUGAAAACAAGUACAGGUCACCUUAUGCUUUGUCAUCUAAAAACGCAUACCUGAUGGCUUUAUGAAGGUGGUGCGUUAAUAUUAAGUUUACAGAAAGCGAUCGCUAAGUCCGUGACUUAUGUAAAUCACGAUUUACGCAUUCAUGCAAUAAAGGAUGACGCGAAUUUCGGUUUCGAAUCUGUUUUUUGGAUGCGUAGUAGCUUCGUACAGUUUAGGUUUGACAUGCGAUCGCGCGUCGACGUCGGACGCUAUGGCACACUCGUGCCUUAUGUGCCACCGAAGCCCCGAAGUGCUCUGGCAUAUACCUUCACGUGUUUCCCUUCAGUAGGAAAUCGCUGGACAGGCGGACCAGCGCACCGGAAUUGUACUGGCGAAGCCACAAGCAACUCAAAGAAUCUGUUUAAUUGUUGCACUUUGAACAAACAUGCUUCUACAAAGGCCACAGCAGAAAAACAGCCUGAUGCCGAGUACUUCUGUGCCACGAAGUAAUCAAGAGGCGAGUGCCUAAUGCGGACGAAAUCGAGUGCAUCGAGACUUUGAACGACAGAAAGCUGAGCUAGUUGAUAUGCAAUGGCAAGCCCUUCUGUGUGUUCCAAAGGUAAAAUUUAAGCUCUAAAUUAAAGAAGACAUUUCUAGUCAGAAACAAGCAAAAAUGGUGAAUGCAGAGUAUCAGAAGCCCAAGGUACAGAAAUUAUGAGAAGCGUCGAAUGAUUGUAAGGAAAGAAUGCUAUUUAAAAAUGCAAGACUCUUUAGUGGAAGUCAAGCAAGUCAGUAUAGGUAGAAUACUCUGCAAAAUUAUGCGAGUGAGGGGAUGUCAAACAAUGGGUCAGGAAAUGCGUUGUUUUUCUGCAAAACAAAAGCUGAUGAUUGUCAUUACAUAAGUCACUUUAGCAUCAUGAGACUGCUGCUUGAUAAAUUCAGCAAUAAACCAAAAAACAACACACGCAAAAAUAAAAAACAAUUUAAUGAUGCUCUCUCCACACUGGGAUAAAUAAAAUACGCAUCACAUCUAAUGUGGACAUAUAAGACACCUUGUGAAACACUAAAGAAAAAAUUCAAUUUCGAGCUAUGGCACUUGCUGCAUAGAUGUGGGGGGCCUUGCACUAAUAGUGAUAGUUACCACUGCACUUAGAAAUUGAAAGCAUUCAUGCAGACAAGGAUCAUUCCUUAUAUUUUUGGCUACCACUUCAAGUGCCUCCACCGAGUGUUACAAUGCUGCAUGCAGCCAUACUAAGGAUCUUGCAGCAACACCUGCAGGUAAAAAGCAGAAGCAGUCAAAGUGCUGGUGUUAAUGGACACUAUGUUUGAAAACUUUAGGCGAGAAGAGUGCAAGAAGCAGACACAACAACUGCAUUUAUUUACAUAAUUCCCCAUUUGAAUGGCCUUUUCUUUUUGCUUAGACAAUGCCUACGCCUAGCCACAGCAGCUCCCUCAUACAGACUCCGCAAGCCAAGAGGCCGUGGAGGCAAAUGCAGGCAGCCAGCACACCUCGAACAGCCACCUUGACUGCGGGUGUGUCACCCUAGUCACCAAGGAAAAAUUUGAGGGAAAGCGACAGGCAAUGUGAACAGCCACUUCUCCAUGUAAACUAUACUCUUUCUCUCGGAUGACUCCUACGCCUCGCCACGCCUGCACACUUGUGCACAAAGAUGCCGCGGAGACACGUGCAGGUCAGAGGCAAGAAGCAGUGGCACUGGUGUCGACAGUCACCCAAUUUCUUUUUCUUACACUGAGGCAGCCAGCACACCUCGAACAGCCACCUUGACUGCGGGUGUGUCAGUAGAUUCCUGUUGUACAUAUGCUCAUAAUAAACUUCAGUAAACUUGAACUUGAUAAUAAACUUGAAGGCAAAUGGGA